CUCCUCUGCUAGAGCUAGUGCCGCUCUGCACCUGAAGAAGGAGUAUGGAUUUGAACAUGGUACCUCAAGAGGAAGAGGAUGAAGGUAUAGAUUUGAACAUGAUGCCUCAAGAGGAAGAGGAAGAAGCUCAACAUGGAGAGGAUGGAGGUAUAGAUUUGAACAUGAUGCCUCAAGAGGAAGAUGAAGAAGCUAUGAAUUGGAUGCCUCAAGAAGAUGAAGAGGAAGAGGA